UACAGAGACUGCAAGCGUUAUUCGGAUUCACUGGGCGUAAAGGGUGCGCAGGCGGUCGUGUGUGUCAGGUGUGAAAUCCCGGAGCUUAACUCCGGAACUGCGCCUGAAACUACACGACUAGAGCAUUGGAGAGGGAAGUGGAAUUCAUGGUGUAGCAGUGAAAUGCGUAGAUAUCAUGAGGAACACCAGAGGCGAAGGCGGCUUCCUGGACAAUUGCUGACGCUCAGGCACGAAAGCAUGGGGAGCAAAAGGG
rnacentral:rRNA from 1 species